AGAAUCAACGCUGGCGGCGUGCCUCAGACAUGCAAGUCGAACGCGAAAGUCCCCUUCGGGGGACAAGUAGAGUGGCGCACGGGUGAGUAACACGUAGGUAAUCUACCUUCGGAUGGGGAAUAACAACCGGAAACGGUUGCUAAUACCGCAUAAUGCAGCGGCACCUAAUGGUGACGGUUGUUAAAGCGGGGGAUCGAAAGACCUCGCGUCUGAAGAGGAGCCUGCGGCGGAUUAGCUAGUUGUAGGGUAACGGCCUACCAAGGCGACGAUCCGUA
rnacentral:rRNA from 1 species